CCUACGGGAGGCAGCAGUGAGGAAUAUUGGUCAAUGGACGAGAGUCUGAACCAGCCAAGUAGCGUGAAGGAUGACUGCCCUAUGGGUUGUAAACUUCUUUUAUAUGGGAAUAAAAUGUUCCACGUGUGGGAUUUUGUAUGUACCAUAUGAAUAAGGAUCGGCUAACUCCGUGCCAGCAGCCGCGGUAAUACGGAGGAUCCGAGCGUUAUCCGGAUUUAUUGGGUUUAAAGGGAGCGUAGGUGGAUUGGUAAGUCAGUUGUGAAAGUUUGCGGCUCAACCAUAAAAUUGCAGUUGAAACUGGCAGUCUUGAGUACAGUAGAGGUGGGCGGAAUUCGUGGUGUAGCGGUGAAAUGCUUAGAUAUCACGAAGAACUCCGAUUGCGAAGGCAGUUCACUGGACUGCAACUGACACUGAGGCUCGAAAGUGUGGGUAUCAAACAGGAUUAGAUACCCGUGUAGUC
rnacentral:rRNA from 1 species